AAACCGUUGGAAGGGAAGCGAAUGGAGUCGGAAAUUCGCCUUUUCGGAUUCAACCCCUCGCCUACUGCGACGUGCUAUCUCGCGACCUGUCGCCAGGCGUGGUUCGUGCGGCCGCAGUUCGCAGGUGGUGCACUUCCGACCGGCGAGUGUCAACGUCAGUCGACGGCGAGCAAAGGGGCCGCGAGUACGGUAGGUCCUUCGGGGCCGGUAAGUCUCGCGUGCACGUGGCUCGCACCAGACUGUCUUCUGUCGCAGCGCGUGCCGCCCUACGCGGGGCGGCUGCUGCCUUUGUUGUUGGUCUGGCGAUGCUUUCGAGCGGACGGCUUCGCCUGUGCGUUUGUAGCGCCGCUGACCAACCGACAGAGAACGCAGACACGACGCGCUGAGGACGUUGAUCGCCUUACGUCUCCAUACGACCCGUCUUGAAACACGGACCAAGGAGUCUAACAUGUGCGCAAGUCUCAGGGUGAUCGAAACCCGUGGGCUCAAUGAAAGUAAAUGCGGCCUCGCCUGCAGAGAUGAGAAGCAAGCGGAUUCGCGUCCGUCGCGCCACAUCAUCGACCGACCUGUUCUACUCUUAGAAAGGUUCGAGUUAGAGCGUGCCUGUUGGGACCCGAAA
rnacentral:rRNA from 1 species